rnacentral:sRNA from 1 species
GCCAGGCACAGUGGCGCACACCUGUAAUCCCAGUGAUAGGGAGGCUGAGGCAAGAGGAUCACAAGUUCAAAGGCAGCCUCAGCAACAUCAAGAUGCUAAGCAACUCAGUGAGAUCCUGUCUCUA